rnacentral:rRNA from 1 species
AACGUAGGAGACAAACGUUAUCCGGAGUUACUGGGCGUAAAGGGCGUGUAGGUGGUUUCGUAAGUCUGGCGUGAAAUUUUUCGGCUUAACCGGGAAAGGUCGUCGGAUACUGCGGAACUAGAGGACGGUAGAGGCGUGUGGAAUUCCGGGUGUAGUGGUGAAAUGCGUAGAGAUCCGGAGGAACACCAAAGGCGAAGGCAGUGUCCUGGGGAGUACCUGACGCUCAGGUGCGAAAGCCAGGGGAGCGAACGGG